GACGUAGGGCGCGAGCGUUGUCCGGAUUUAUUGGGCGUAAAGAGCUCGUAGGCGGCUUGUUGCGUCGACUGUGAAAACCUGCGGCUCAACCGUGUGGUCUGCAGUCGAUACGGGCAGGCUGGAGUUCGGUAGGGGAGACUGGAAUUCCUGGUGUGAGCGGUGAAAUGCGCAGAUAUCAGGAGGAACACCGGUGGCGAAGGCGGCUCUCUGGGACGGUACUGGACGCUGAGACGCGAAAGCGUGGGGAGCGAACAGG
rnacentral:rRNA from 1 species